rnacentral:rRNA from 1 species
AUGGCCUCCUCCUCCUCACCCUCCCCGCCUCUCGCCUCUCCCUCCCGGACAAACCCUAACCCUCACGCCGGCGCAGAUCCUCGAUCUGAUCCCUCCAUGCCCGCCGCCAGCGACGGCGACGGAGCCUCCCCCGCGUCGACGGAGCUGCAGGAGGAGGCCGAGCUGGCCGCGCCGGGGAAGGAGGAGCUGGAGCCCCCUACACCUGCCGAGGAGACCCCAACCCCUAGGAAGACACGCCUGCCGCGCGCCUGCAACAGCAAGCCGAGGCUCCCACCCCCGCCGCCGCUAGAACGGCUGCGUCGCCGAGCUGCAGCGGGUGCCGACGCGGACGUGACGCCGCAAUGCCGCGUGGUGACGCCGCUUGUGUCGGAGCCCGAAGCGCCCGCGGAGCUGGCACGGUGGCGACUCCGCUGUAUGUGGGAGCUCGGCUCCGUCCUCAACUUCUUCCACGUGUUCCGCGCUUUGCUCAACAUCACGGUGGAGCUCACGGCAGAGGAUAUCGAGGCGGCACUUAUCACGCCUAACGGUACUCUAUACGAUCUUCACAUGCCGCUGCUAAAGUCAAUUCCCCCAAUAACCCGCAUGGCGAUGGGGCGCGGAACCUGGGUAACCGUCCUAUGUAGAAAACUAAGGGAUUGGUGGCAUUGGGUUGCAGAAGGUGAUCUACCAAUAGUUGCAUCACAUGGAGCUGAAAUUGAAAUGUACAAGGAGCUUGAACCAUCGACUCGUUUACUGAUCUUGAAAGCGAUAUGUGACAUACGUGUCGAGCAAGAUGAUAUACGCAACUACAUUGACACUAACGUAAAGCGUGGUUAUGACCUUUCUACCUUCCGUAAAGAACGAAUUGGGGGAGAUUCCCUUGGAAUCUCAUAUUGGUACGAAGAUGAUCCAAUUCUUGGACAUAGAUUGUAUCGUGAAAUUAGACGAGUGGAACAGAUGAAGAAGGAACCUGGGAAGAGAUCGAAGGGAAGAAGAAUUUCAACUCCUCCAGUUGUGUCGUAUCAUUGGGAAACCGUUGCGUCCACUUUUGAAGAAUUUGAUGAUGUUGCAGAAAAACUAUCUUCUAGUCGGAACAGGACAGAGGUUUCCCUUGGCAAGAAGUUGAAGAUUGAAUAUCUUCCGGAGAUCGAAAAGAUUCAUAAAAAGAAGGAGAAGAUGCUCAAAAAGCAACAGAGAGAAGCUCUCCUCCUCGAUAGUUACUUGACAUCAGAUAUUACCACUGGUCGAUCUCUUCGUGAUAGAAAGCCUGUAACAUAUACUUUUGAUGACUAUGACCGCUCAAUAAACGAAGCCAUUAAAAUAACGAAGAAAAGGGAAAACUCUGCCGAGCUUGUUACUACUCUCAAUAGAAGGAUGCUUAUACCGAGACAAGAGUCAUCAAGUAACGGCAAGUUAAAUGGCCUCUCCCUAGCCAAUGAAUUAGAUGAUGGAAAUUCUUCAAAGUCGGAUGACUACCAAGAUAGUGAUGGGGAACAAGAAAAUGAAGCACUUGAUCGCAGUAACCGGCGCAGGAGAAGAUCUCAGCGAUACACACAAGAUUUUGUUCAGGCUGUCUCGGAUAUUGAUCUGAACUUUGACAGUGAUGAUGAUAUCAUGGGAGAAGCGGUUUAUGAUGAGGAAUAUUUGAGAACUCGCAAACUGCUGAAGACAUCAAGUGCUUCUGAAGAGGAUGAAGAGUUCCGGUUGGAAGAGGAUGUUGAAGAUGACGAUGAAGAAGAGGAAGAGGAGUUUUCUGCAGGCACCAGCGAAGAUAUAGAGGAGCCCCAGCGUCAUAAAAAGUUGCGAAGUCAAAAUGUCCGAGGUGCUAAGCUGAGAUCUGUUGAUGAAAUCCAAACAGGUCUCAGACGCAGCAAGCGUUCUUCUCGUCCACGUAUAAACUACCAGCAGUAUGAUUUUUCAGAUACGGAUGCAGAGGCGGGAAAGGCAGGUAAAUCAGAUGCAUCAGACCCUGAUGCCAACUCUGAUGCAGAAAAUGGUAUGGAACUCUCGACAUCAAGUCAAGGGCAACAGGAAGAAGAGGAUGAUGGCCCCGAGGAACUAAAAGUUAGUAAUGGUAACGAUAAAAUGGCUGAAGACCAUGCAGUGGCAGCAAAUAAAGAGCAAAAGGAGGAGCAGCUGCAACUGCAGCCAGAGUCUGUAGAGAAGAUGGAUGCUCCCAGCAGGGAGAAUGGAAGUGUUGGAAGAACAUUCCUAGAUCUAAACGAGCUUGCGCCUGGAGGUGGCUUUGACGAAGGCCCUAGCCUGGCAAUGAAAGAUGAGGACAUGGAUAACAGUUAG